rnacentral:lncRNA from 1 species
GUUUUAUUCUCCCAUUUCCAUUGUCCCUCUGCAAUGAUGUGCCAACAAGGAAAUUAACCAAGUAUGUGUGAAUAUUCAGCAGAUGAGUAGGGGACCUGUCUGAGGGAUCAGAGCUAAUUGCCCCUCAGUUUGCCACAAAGAACAGAAACAUACUUUAAAAGCUCCUAAUUGGUAUUCUUCACAGGAGUUGAGAGAAUAUUGUAUUUAUGGCACAAAAUAGGCAAUAAUGAAAACAGAGCUUUCUCAGAUGAGGAAAGAUUGCAUGGAGAUGAAAAACAUGAUCAUCCAAUUAAAACACCGAACAGAGACAAUGAAGGGGGGUGGUAACACUGAAAAAUGAAAUCAGCUCAUUACAGGACGCUCAUGGGAACGUCUCCACAUCUCAAAGGAAAUGAAGAAGGGGAUUCUUUUGUAUUAAUGAAAUGUUCAAUCAAUCUACAAUAAAAUUUGAUGUGCCAAAUAACAUGACUACUAGAAAUGUUACACACACACACACACACACACACACACAUAUAUAUAUAUAUAUAUAUAUAAUUCACUGCAGCAAUUUCUGUGAAAAACUUGAAUAUACCUCUGUGAGUCUCUGAUAUGUUACCCACUUGAAAGAUAAACAAGGGCUUAGUGACUUGAUUAACAUGACAGAAUGAAUUCAAAGAGAGACGAGAAAAGACAGAUGCCUGUUUGUCUAUUUACUUGCGUGUUUUGGAGCAUCUCCAGGUGUAGUCCCCAAACUCCAAACUCUACAUCCUUUUGCCUCAGCCUCCCAUAUGCUGGGAUGGCAGGGACAUACACCCAGUCCAGGAAAAGAUGGUUUCUAAAGAAGAGGAACUGGGCAUGGUGGCUCAAGUUCCUGGGAACUAAGCAAGAAGAAUGUCACGAGUUCAUGGCCUCAGCUACUCAGUGAGCUCCAGACCAACAUGAGCUACCUGAUUGCGAUCUCAUCUCAAUCAAUCAACCAAUCAAUCC